CACAGCACAUUGCAGAUUCUAUAUGCGCAAUGCCAUGGAAAUGCAGAUUCCACCCCUUUUGUCAAUCUGCAGAAUAUUCACAGUGAAGCCAUAUGCUGCUGUGAGGCUGUGAUGUCACCAUCAUGUACCUGGCAACGCACUGUCAUGUCAUAAGAAGAGGUUCACGAUGACUUUGUGGCUGGUUCGAGCAGAAAGAGACACUUCUGUCUUUAACUCUAGCAGUGGGGGAACACGGACCAGGACAGUUGCUUUCUAUAAUCAGGAUUUUUAUUCCCCCCCGCCCCAUGCCUGCUCUGAAGUAAAAGGCCCUAUUCCAGAGUAAAACGUGGGAGGAGGCGCAGAAGUGACAACAGUGAGGUAUGGGCCCCUUAGCUAGGUGACUGGAGCAGGGGCUACAGCUGAACUCUCAGUGCUGGAGCUCCGCACAGCUAACUCCCAGCCAGAGGCUAGGACAAGGCAUCAACUAGGUGCUGGUACCAAUUAGCAGCCUCAACGGGGUUAUUACAGGACAAGCUCUGUUUAACUUAACUGCUAACAGACUGGCUCUGUCAGCUGGAAGGAAUCACAGGCAAACAGACUUAAUGGCAGCCUGGGGGAGUGGGGGUGGGGAGAAUGGUCCCUUCCUUUCCUAUACCCAGUGUAUUUGAUACAGUGCAAAUGUAACCGUCCUGUGAAACAUGUGUACAAGGAGGAGUCAGAAAUCAUUAAAGUCGGGUGUAUUUGGUCAAUCCAAGUUUUGCUGAGUGACAUGAAUCCCAUGGAACUUGCUGGCCCUUUGACACAACAACCUCAUGGGGUCCUCUUGUCACCAGAGGCCAAGAACAAGGCCACACAGCUGCUCAGCAUGUACGAACUGUGUGAACUGAAAGGAUUCGCACCUGUACUUUCUUACAGACCUAGUGUCACUGUUGGGGGAGUCUGACAAACAAAGCUCCCAGGCUAAGGACCUGGCUCCCAUUCUGACCAUGUGCUGUUGGAUUCCACUGUUAGACCUCGUUCUCUCAGCAUGACACUUGCCAAUCCUGACUCCGAUUUGGAAACACGGCACAGCCUGGACUGGGGACCCUGGAGUUCUGCUGAAGACACCGACAUGAGUGUAAAUGGAUUAAAACACAACCGUGGCUGGAGCAGCUCCCUGCAGCACUGCUCAGCAUGGCCAGCCUUUCACUCCCUGUGCUUGAUUGACGGUCGAUGGGAAGGGAGAAGCACAUCCUGCUCCAUGUUUCCCUUACACACUGGUCUCUGGCUCCCGCCUUACGUGAACCAAUGUCCAGUGAAGUCAGUGGUAAGAUUCCCCAUUGAGUUUAGUGGGUUUUGGAUCAGACUCUUUUUUGCAUAUGGAGCAGUCUUGGUACCACCUUUCUGAGAGCAGGAAUAUCAUCAGCCCUGUUAAAGGGAAGGCGCGGGGCAACGGGGGCCGAGGGCUGGGGGGAGGCUGCACAAAACCAAGCCCUACAGUGUUGCUCACAUCACAAUUGCACUGGCAUUGAUCUGUCAUCUGUGAACUCUCCUAGCUGAACCAAAGGGCCCUACCCUCUCAAACGCUGCAUGACUGAGAUUGGGAGCCUGAGUGAGGGGACUAUUUGACUUGCACACAUGGACACCUGGCUUCAGGGCUAGCUCAUCUUUGCCUCUAGUGACAAAAUCAAAAAGCCUCCAUGAAAUUUGGCCUGAUGAUGAAUCCUGGAGCUGCUACCAGGCAGAACUAGCAUCUCCAAACAGGGUAGCCUGCCUCGGGAUCCCGAAUGGAUAAUAAUGCUAAAUGGCCAUGUGUGUGAAAAUGCCCUACGCUAAUGGGCGCUGCUGCUGCUGUGACACCUCAUCUAGACAGAGAUUGAUGUCAUUAGUACUUAGUAUUUGUUAAGAGCCAACAGCGUACCUGUUGCUGAAAAAGACACAGAAGAUAUGUCCAGUGUACUGUGCAAACUUGACAUGCUUGGAAAGUGUUUGAACUUGCAUUUGACUGAAGUAACAGAGGUCGGGGUGAGAGGCCUGGGCGGAGCUG